rnacentral:rRNA from 2 species
GCUUUGAAGCGUGGACGCCAGUUCGCGUGGAGCCAUCCUUGAAAUACCACCCUGGCAUGCUUGAGGUUCUAACUCUGGUCCGUGAUCCGGAUCGAGGACAGUGUAUGGUGGGCAGUUUGACUGGGGCGGUCUCCUCCUAAAGAGUAACGGAGGAGUACGAAGGUGCGCUCAGACCGGUCGGAAAUCGGUCGCAGAGUAUAAAGGCAAAAGCGCGCUUGACUGCGAGACAGACACGUCGAGCAGGUACGAAAGUAGGUCUUAGUGAUCCGGUGGUUCUGUAUGGAAGGGCCAUCGCUCAACGGAUAAAAGGUACUCCGGGGAUAACAGGCUGAUACCGCCCAAGAGUUCAUAUCGACGGCGGUGUUUGGCACCUCGAUGUCGGCUCAUCACAUCCUGGGGCUGAAGCCGGUCCCAAGGGUAUGGCUGUUCGCCAUUUAAAGUGGUACGCGAGCUGGGUUUAGAACGUCGUGAGACAGUUCGGUCCCUAUCUGCCGUGGACGUUUGAGAUUUGAGAGGGGCUGCUCCUAGUACGAGAGGACCGGAGUGGACGAACCUCUGGUGUUCCGGUUGUCACGCCAGUGGCAUUGCCGGGUAGCUAUGUUCGGAAAAGAUAACCGCUGAAAGCAUCUAAGCGGGAAACUUGCCUCAAGAUGAGAUCUCACUGGGAACUUGAUUCCCCUGAAGGGCCGUCGAAGACUACGACGUUGAUAGGCUGGGUGUGUAAGCGUUGUGAGGCGUUGAGCUAACCAGUACUAAUUGCCCGUGAGGCUUGACCAU